AUUGCAUCUAUUAGGUUGGUGCAAAAGUAAUCGCGAUUUUUGCCGUUGAAAGUAAUAGCCAAAACCGCAAUUGCUUUUGCACCAACCUUAAUAACUU
rnacentral:miRNA from 1 species